rnacentral:rRNA from 1 species
UCAAGCUACAAAGAGCGCAAGGGGAAUGCCUUGGCACUGGGAGCCGACGAAGGACGUAGCGAUCUACGAUAAGCCACGGUGAGCCGAAAGCAGGCAUCGACCCGUGGAUUUCCGAAUGGGGCAACCUGGCUGAAUAGAACUCAGUCAACAUACGGUGAAUAAAAUAGUCGUAUGUAGGGAACCGCCUGAACUGAAACAUCUAAGUAGGGCGAGGAAAAGAAAUCAACCGAGAUUCCGCAAGUAGUGGCGAGCGAACGCGGAAGAGGCCAAACCGAGAGUAGUAAUACUUUCGGGGUUCGGACAGCGGACGGUAUGCUGAAGGUUAGCAGAAGGACAUGGGACGGUCCACCAAAGAGAGUGAAAGUCUCGUAUGCGAAAACUGAAAGCAGCCAGCUGAAUCCAGAGUACCGCCGGACACGUGAAACCCGGUGGGAAUAUGGGGGGACCAUCCUCCAAGCCUAAAUACUACCCAGUGACCGAUAGCGUAUAGUACUGUGAAGGAAAGGUGAAAAGAACCCCGGGAGGGGAGUGAAAAGAACCUGAAACCUUGUGCUUACAAGCACACAAAGCACGUCAACGUGUGAUGUGGUACCUUUUGUAGAAUGGUCCGGCGAGUGAAUGUAACUGGCGAGGUUAAGUUCUUAAGGAACGGAGCCGAAGCGAAAGCAAGUCUGAAUAGGGCGUCUUAGUCAGUUGUAUUCGACCCGAAACCGGGUGACCUAUCCAUGUCCAGGAUGAAGUUAAGGUAAAACUUGAUGGAGGUCCGAACCCACGGUCGUUGAAAUGCCCGGGGAUGAGAUGUGGAUAGCGGAGAAAUUCCAAUCGAACCCGGAUAUAGCUGGUUCUCUCCGAAAUAGCUUUAGGGCUAGCCUCGACUGAACAUUACCGGAGGUAGAGCACUGAAUGGGCUAGGGGCCGAGAGGUUACUGAACCCUAUCAAACUUCAAAUGCCGGAAAAUGAUAGUCGGGAGUCAGACUGCGUGAGAUAAGUUUCGUAGUCGAAAGGGAAACAGCCCAGACCCACAGCUAAGGUCCCAAAGUACGGUUAAGUGGAAAAGGAUGUGGAGUUGCACAGACAACCAGGAUGUUGGCUUAGAAGCAGCCACUCAUUAAAAGAGUGCGUAAUAGCUCACUGGUCGAGUGACUCUGCGCCGAAAAUUUAACGGGGCUAAAUCGUACACCGAAGCUUGGGAUGCAUCUAUGAUGCAUGGUAGGAGAGCGUUGAAUGCGGGGUGAAGUCAGAGCGAAAGCGCUGGUGGACUGCAUUGAAGUGAGAAUGCCGGAAUGAGUAGCGAGAUUUAUGUGAGAAUCAUAAAGGCCGAAAGACUAAGGUUUCAGAAGGAAGGUUCGUCCGCUUCUGGUUAGCCGGGAGCUAAGGUGAGGCCGAAAGGCGUAGCCGAUGCACAUACGGUGGAGAUUCCGUAGCCGUCGAAAUAUUUAAGCAAAGGGACACUUAUGAAGGACAUGACCCGGGCGAUGGUAGCCCCGGGCGUAAGGGACUGAAAACAAGUAGGGAAGCAUGUUUGGAUUAAGGCGAGAAAAGCUUUGUGUAUAUAUGAGACGUCCGUACCGCAAACCGACACAGGUAGUCAGGAAGAGGAUUCUAAGGCCAACGGGAGAAGGGUAGUUAAGGAACUCGGCAAAUUGACCCCGUAACUUCGGGAUAAGGGGCGGUGCGUAAGCACCCGCAGUGAAUAGGUCCAGGCGACUGUUUAUCAAAAACACAGCUCUCUGCUAAAUCGAAAGAUGACGUAUAGGGGGUGACACCUGCCCGGUGCUGGAAGGUUAAGAGGAGGAGUGCAAGCUCCGAAUUGAAGCCCCAGUAAACGGCGGCCGUAACUAUAACGGUCCUAAGGUAGCGAAAUUCCUUGUCGGGU